rnacentral:lncRNA from 1 species
GGAGGUUUUUUAUUAGUGUGCUCGCCAAGAUCUCGUAAUCUCGUGCCAAUGUAUCCUUAUGGUGCAAUAAGGAAGUCAGAGCAUUCGUAGUUCGUGGAACUACGAUUUAUUGGUGUCUUUUAGUGAACAAUUGUUAAGAUUGCGUUCUAAAGGCUAAACGUUUGCUUGUUUACUCUCGGAGGAGGCUUAAGCACUAGUUUGUUGUACGCAUUAAAAAUGAUUAAAUAGUGUUCUUUCUUAAAAGAGUUUUGGUCACACGAGGGUGACAAGUUGAGUUAAUAUGUUUCAUGUUUUGUUUGAUUGGUUUCGAUCGCACGUGGUCAAGAAAAAAGAUAGAUUUGAUGUGUUAAGAUAUUUUGUUGGAUGACGAUUACUCGGAUAGUCGAGUAAGGCAACUCAUAUCCAAAUAGUCGAGGAGAGGAAUCAAAGGCUCUAGACCAUUUCCUUUUUCAUCCUUAAUUGUAAAAGGAUUUGAUAAUAGUUAAUGUGUUUUGAAUGGAUGACGAAUACUCAGAUAGUGGAGUAAGGCAACUCGUAUCCUAAUAGUCGAGGAGAGGAAUCGAAGGCUCUAGACCAUCCCCAUUUUUCAUCCUUAAUUAUAAAAGGAUUUAAUAAUAUUAAGGUGUUUUAAAUGGAUGAAGAAUACUCGGAUAGUCGAGUAAGACAACUCGUAUCCUAAUAGUCGGGAAAGAGAAUAGAAGGCUCUAGACCACUUUAUUUUUCAUCUGAGUGAUUAUGAAAAUAAAUUUGUGCAUGAUUGACAUAAUCUAGAUAAACGACAAGUACUUGAAUGACUGAGUAAGGCAACUCAUAUCCAAGUAUUUGAGGAGAGGAAUCGAAGGCUCAAGACUAUCUCCCUUUUCGUGUAGUUUAUUAUAAAAAUGUUUCGAUUUCAUUAAAUUUAGAAUUUUUAGUGAAAUGACAAUUGUUUGACUAACCGAGUAAGAGAACUCGUAUUCAAACAAUCGACGGGAGGAGUUGAAGGCUCAAAACCAUCCCCCUUUUCAUUUCUUAUUACGAAAAAUGAUUCGAUUUAAUUAGGUUUAGGCGGAUAGGAAUGACAAUUGUUUGAUUAACCGAGUAAGGGAACUCGUAUUCAAACAAUCGAGGAGAGGAAUUGAAGGCUCAAAACCAUCCCCCUUUUCAUUUCUAAAUGAAAUGGUAUUUAAUUGUGAUUAAGUAUUUUAAUUAAUUCAAAUAAAAAUACUCGAUGUUAGAUCGAGGUUUGAAUUUGUGUUUGCGAAUAAAUUGGAUUAUUUUGGUGUAUCAAUCAUCUAUUCGAUUAAUUAAAAUCGAAUAGGUCUCAUUGUAAGAAAGCCCAAGAGUAAGCUAUGUGAGGUUGAUGGCGAUGCUAAAAGCUAUCGACUUACAAGGGUGUUUGGAAAGUGAGCUCGAUUAAAUCGAGAAUUGUGCGAUAUCUUAAAUGGUUUGAUGAUUGAUGAUGAAAUCGAAUGAAAUCUAGUUUGUAUUAUGAAAUGAUAGUGGAAGAAAUCAAUCAAUACUUAAUUAACAAAAUUAAUUGAUUAAAACUCGGUUAAAUUAAUUAAGUUAAUUAGGAUUAAUUAUCAAAAUAAUUUAAUUGAAUCAAAUAAUUAAGUUAAUUAAAAUUAAUUAAUCAUAAUUAACUAAUUUAAACAAAAUUUAAUUAUAAUGAAUUUGAUUAGAAUGAAAAUGGAAUAAGUAACAAUGUUUGACGGAAGUAUAAAUUCUUGGAAUGACCUAUAUAAGGCUUUCACUUCCCACUUCACCAUCUAAAAGAGGAAACCCACAACCAUGGUCGUGCUCAGUGGGAUCACCUAAGGUAAAAAAGAAACCUUGCGCGGGUACAUUGUCUGCUUUACCAAAGUGGGAGUGAUCGUUGGUAAUUACAUGAAAGUUUGAAGUGCUAGAUUUUCGAAAGAGGUUUAAGGCAAGAUUAUAUGUUUUGAGAGAAACUAGGGUGAAAAGAGGCCCAUAAUUUGAAAUACUUGUUGAGUAGGGCAUAACCUUACAUUAACUAUGAAGAGAAGCUCUUUUUCAUGUGGACCAACCUAGGCCUGGGGAACAACGAAUCCAACAGACCAUCAAAGAAAGAUGUUGGUCGAUAUAAAGAAGAAUGUGAGUGUGGACUCCAAUCCAUAUUUGAUGCUUAUACUCCCUUGAACACCUCGUGGGAUUUUUUUUGGAAAGAAUGUGCGGACGCGAAGUUCAAGGAGUCUUCUCGUAUAUAUAAAUCCAAGUACUACCAUUCACAGAAAAGUCAUGACCAUAACACAAACAAUUAUAUCCAACUGGAGGAUGCAAUUGAAUGACUGAUUAAGAAAUGACAGUUAGUCGAGUACACCACAGACGAUAAGAGAAGCCGAGAAGAUUUAUAAAGGAAGAAGCGCUCCCCUCGGAGGGAACAAACUCCCUAGAAAAUUGUUGAAAUUGUUGUCAAGGCCAAUAGCAAAAAUACGAGCAGCGGAGAAGAAGGAGAUAAAGGGAAACACCAUUACAUCGCCUCCAUCAAUGGUGGGUCCUCAAGGGCAAGAAAUCCCUCCAAAAUGACAGUAAAGAGGAAGAUUGUCGAGUUAAUGGUCAUUAGCAAGAAAAACGGAAGCACAUUGGCCAAAGGACCAGAUUGGUCGAUCCUUUAUUCCUUGACGUUGAAAAAAUAUGGGGGAUCCCAAACAAGAUUUUUCCCUUGGCGAUAAUGGCCACAAUCGCCAACUUUGAUUUCUCCCGAAUACUUAUUGAUGGGGGAAACUCAUGUGAUAUAAUGUAUUUAGAUCUCUUUGAAAAGAUGGGGUUGAAGAAGGAGAAGUUAUAACCUUGGGAUACAUUGAACUUAUGGUCACCUUAAAAUAAGGAAUGAAUACAAAACAAUCGAUUCCCAAUUUCCUCUAGUGUCUAUAACUGUAUCUUAUACCGGACCUUCGCAACAACCUUGGAAGCAAUAACAUCCGUUCUUCAUCUUAAGCUGAAAAACUACACUUGUACAUGAUACUCUUAUCUUUACUUAUUAGUCAAGAACUAUAAUUGAAAAUUUUAGAACCUCACCUAAUAUUCCAUGACAAAUGCUUAAAAAUAAGUUUUAACAGAACUGUCUAAAAAAACAAAAAACAUGAUGUAACACUUCAAUGUUCGUCUUUUUCAAAAUGUACUUUUAUUUCGAAAGAGAAGCACUUACUAACAGAUAACUUUUAUCAUUGAAAAAACAAACAUUAUCAACGAAUGAGAUUUGUUUUUUAUCUCUAAAAGUUUAUUAUUUUUGAGAAAAAAAAUCAAAUCAAAUCCACUAAUGAAAAGGCACACAAAUCUCCAACCCGUGACUCCAUAUACUGCCAUUCCAUAUUCACGGGUUCAUAACAUCAUAUAAUUUCAGACUCAUUUUCUUCUAUAAAUAAAUUCCAAAAUCCAUACAUAGUUUCACACCUAAGACACAACACAACAACCACAUUCAUUGAAUUACAACCAAAUUAGUGUAACAUUAUUUAUGAAGAAACAACAGAUGAAGUUGGGUUCACUUCUUCUUCUGGUGGUGCUAAUGAUGUCUUGUAGGUUGAAACUUUCCAAUGGGAUGAGUUUAUGUAACAUGAAUGAAGAUGGACUUGAUGCUUGUAAGCCAUCAGUAACACAGCCAGAACCAACAAAACCAACUCCUAAAUGCUGCGAGGCUCUUACUGGUGCUGAUUUGCAAUGUCUUUGUUCUUAUAAGAACUCAGCAGAGUUGCCUUUACUUGGAAUUGAUCCAACUCUUGCUGCUUCACUUCCUAAAGAAUGUAAUCUCACUCCUCCAGCUAACUGUGACUAAGCUUCAUUUAUAUAUAGGGUGUGGCUUUGUAUGUGUUUGUGUUUUUCUUUGUUUGUGUCUCUUAGUGUUUGUUUGUGUUUUUCUUUGCAACUUGUAUCAAUAUGUUGCUUUUUCUCUACGUUAUUUAUAGAGGAAAAUGUUGCUGAUUUAGUAGUUACGAUAAAUUUUAGGUAAAAUGUAUCCUAAGAUCCUUUAAGGUAUUAAUUGUAUUUUAAUUUUUUUUUAAUAAUGUAGAUCUAUUAAUAAGUAUGUUAAGACAAUAAAGUGAGUUUGGACAGAGUAGUUAUAGGAUUCGUCUUCAUAUUUGUGUGAUUUAAAAAAAUCUUUCUAUUUGAGUUUA